rnacentral:rRNA from 1 species
AUGAAAGAAUGGGAUGUCAGGAGCCCUGCAAUGACUGGUUACUGCAAUGCAGUGAGAAAGUUGGAGAAGAAGUUUGAGGGGUUAGAGCUCCACCACAUACCCCGACUCAAGAAUCAAGCGGCGGAUGAUCUGGCCAAGAUAGGUUCCACUCGGAAGCCUAUCCCCAGUAAUGUGUUCUUGGAACAUCUCCAUACCCCAUCCAUACAAGAGGAUCCCUUCAUAGAAGAGCCCCCGCAAUAG